AUCGAACGCUGGCGGCAGGCCUAACACAUGCAAGUCGAACGAGCGGCGGACGGGUGAGUAAUGUAUGGGGAUCUGGCUGAUCGAGGGGGAUAACUACUGGAAACGUUGGCUAAUACCGCUUACGCUACGAUGAACCCAUAUGGGCUUAGCGUGUCGGUGAGGUAACGGCUCACCUAGGCGACGAUCCCUAGCUGGGCUGAGAGGAUGAUCAGCCACACUGGAACUGAGACACGGCCCAGACUCCUACGGGAGGCAGCAGUAGGGAAUAUGGCACAAUGGGCGCAAGCCUGAUGCAGCCAUGCCGCGUGUAUGAAGAAGGCCUUCGGGUUGUAAAGUUCUUUCAGUCGGGAGGCGUUACCUACAGAAGAAGCACCGGCUAACUCCGUGCCAGCAGCCGCGGUAAUUC
rnacentral:rRNA from 1 species